ACAUAUAGAAGGGUACUCCUAUCUUCUAAGUCUCAGAAACAUAAUUAUCUCCCUACAGAUUCCCUGAAAGGGAAAAAUCCCAAGAAUCCAGAGAGCUUAAGAGAAAAAGAGACUGGUAAAAGAAAAGAUGUGAAGUCUCCAGCAACCUUAAAGGAAAAAGACUCUUCAAAACAAAAAGAAACUAAGGCUUCAACUAAUCCUAAGGAAAAAGCUGCAGUGAAAAAGGAGGGGGAGAAGAAAGCUACCUCAGAGAACCCUCAUGAACACAAGCACGAACGUGUUAAACGUGAAAAAACUGUCUCUCAGACUAAGCCAGAGGAGAAAAUUAAACAACAAAAGACAACUCCCACUGAGAAGUCAGCCCAAGCAAAGCCAGCAAAGCAUGAAGCAGUCAGACCUGAAAAAGACGUUCCCCUUACAAAACCAGAGCCAACAGCUGAAAUCCCAACAUCAGCCACAAAAAAAAUAAAGACAACUAAGGAAAAAGAAGAAAAACCAACUGAGAAGAAACAGCUGAAAGAUGAAAAAACUAAAGUAAAAGAAGAUCCACGGCAUCAAAACUUGACAUCAGCUCCUGUCCGCUACUUUCAAUGUGUCUUCCUAAAUGGACCUAAUGGAUUUGGCCUGCAAUUUCCUAUUAAUCCCCCUUCAAACAAGGAAGAAAAGGCUCACUCAAAGACUUCCAAGAGAAAGACAAGGAAACCGGGGCAGUAGAGAGACUGAGUCCAAUGAUCACUGACAUUUUGCACUUUAUCUUUUCUGCUGAGGUCCACAGUAGCUACAGUGGUACUUGUCAUUGCAAGAAUGUGAUCCGCUUGCACACAUGUACCUGGAAAAGGUUUCCAUGGGGCAAUGGCAGAACAAGCAGUAAUGAACUGUGUUUAACAAAGGUAGAAAUGUAACAGUGCCCAGUUUCUCAUGGAAAGGCUGCAAUGCUAACAAAGCAUUGAUGUGACUGUGUGUGUGAGCAUGUGCGUGUGUUUCCAUGCCUCUUUUGCUCUUGUUUUACUUUACCUACAUGCUCAGCAUUGAAGUGAGUCUGUUUUCCAUUUAAUCUUAUCUAAGGAGUGAAAGGUUGAAUGUAGCUCUUAUAUCAGCAAGAUUGCAAGACUAGCUGCAAUCCUAAACCAUUUCUUCUUAACGUUCAAUCAAAUUUCUGACAGGAAAAUGCCUCACUAAGUCAUGAAAAUGUGCUUUGUGACUGGUGCUAUUUUUAUGUCUCAUUGACCAGUGUAGCCCGAAGCUCACACUUACUUGGAGCAGCUCAAUACACUAUCAGUAAGUUGACUCCACAAGUCAUGCUAAUGAUGAAUUUUCUAUUUAGUCUGAAACUGUAAAAGCAUGGACUGUUUGCCCUGCCUGUUGGUAAAAUACAAGCUCUUCUCUUCCUAAGGCCCAAAGUGAGAAGAGAAAGUGAAACCACAUGUCAAAGGUUAGGAAAAUCACUGUUUUACCAACAUGAAGGUCUGAAGAAACAAAUGAAAUAAUUAUAGUGCUUCCACUUUUCUUCUGCAGCUAAAUCUGAUUGUUUUUCAGCAAAAACCAUGUAAAUGGACAAUAUACCACCCAACAAUUUGCCAUUAGCUUAAGCCAGAUGAAAAGCUAGGAUGUGAGAUGCCAUUCACAAAACUAAAGCAACCCAAAUUUCCAGUAAUUAUGUGAAUUUAAUGCUAUCUCAGAUCAGUGAACAACAGCAAAAACCAAAAUCCCAACAAAGAAAGAAUCAGAAGAAAAUUAAACAUAAACACAUUAAAUAACCCAGGUAUCUCAUUUUACUAAAUGAAAUUAAUGGACUUCCUCACAGCACACUACUGUAAAUGGCUUACAGUAGAACUGAAAGUAGAUGUGCUUGUCCUCAACCUUCUUUUGUGCAUUUAUGUAGAAAUAAAGGAUUUGUUGCCCUAAAAAAUAGACA
ensembl:lncRNA